AUUGAACGCUGGCGGCAUGCCUUACACAUGCAAGUCGAACGGUAACAGGUCUUCGGAUGCUGACGAGUGGCGAACGGGUGAGUAAUACAUCGGAACGUGCCCGAUCGUGGGGGAUAACGAAGCGAAAGCUUUGCUAAUACCGCAUACGAUCUACGGAUGAAAGCAGGGGACCGCAAGGCCUUGCGCGAACGGAGCGGCCGAUGGGAGAUUAGGUAGUUGGUGGGAUAAAAGCUUACCAAGCCGACGAUAUUUAGCUGGUCUGAGAGGACGACCAGCCACACUGGGACUGAGACACGGACCAGACUCCUACGGGAGGCAGCAGUGGGGAAUUUUGGACAAUGGGCGAAAGCAUGAUCCAGCCAUGCCGCGUGCAGGAUGAAGGCCUUCGGGUUGUAAACUGCUUUUGUACGGAACGAAAAGACUCUGGUUAAUACCUGGGGUCCAUGACGGUACCGUAAGAAUAAGCACCGGCUAACUACGUG
rnacentral:rRNA from 1 species